CACAAUCCACUGCCUUGAUCCACUUGGCUACAUCCGCC
rnacentral:tRNA from 6 species